GGGAAUGUGGCUUAGUGGUAGAGUACUUGCCUAGCAUGCAUGAAGCCCUGGGUUCCAUUCCUCAGUGCCA
rnacentral:tRNA from 1 species